rnacentral:lncRNA from 1 species
CUUCAUUGUACAACUUUUUAAAGGCCUGGUUCCUUAGUCUACUUUACAGACAGAGUCCUCCAGUUGUCUGGGCAGAAAUCAAAAACACAGGAUGCCUACUCAGCCACAAGGGACAGCUGGUGCAUGAGACGGCAUCAAGUACCUUACAAAGAUUUACAUUUGGAGCAUUCAUGGAAUUUUCAAUGUAUCCGGAGACCUUAAGCUAAGCAUCAGGAAGACAGAAGGAAAUCAUGCAUGGUCACUCAGAAGAGGCAAAAACAUAAUGAGGUGAUUAGAACCUGAGGAACUCAAAACAGAGACAACUAUACAGACUAAGGUGAGACCAUACUAAUCAAAGCAGAUUUCCAUACAUGUAUAUCCAGGACCAGCA